GGAGGAGGUGAGGCGCGCCCUGUUGCCUGAGUACAAUAUAUCCCAUACAUCCAGCUCACUGGACUAAGCAGGACACAGGGACCCCUCAGAUGUGGAGCCAAUAGGCAGCACUCUGGCUACCUGGGAUUUUAUAAAUCUUGCAGCUAUCAGUCUUUCAGAGCUCCAAAUGCAAAAUCCAGCGGCCCAGGAUAUUAUGUGGAUUUAUGACUUGGGAUUUAUGAACUGGUCUGGGUAAAAUAAGAACUGCCUUGACAUUAGUUUUUUUUGAGGUUUGAGGAAAAGAAAUAAUAAAAAUUAAGACCUGAUUUUUUUUUUCUCUUUCAAAGCUUGCUGUUUAUAAAAAGGUAGCUGUUAUAUAUAUAUUCAAUUAUUUUGAUUUUUUCUUCUUACCUGUGUGCUUCCUGGGGCUGGAAGCAGAGCAGCACAAGAAAUGCUACUCUUACAGGUUUUCCUUGCAUUCCUGGCCCUGAUCCUGGAGUUAGGAAAGGUGCUGGUAAACUUUUAGAGAGAUGGCUGCAUGUUUCCAAACAGUAGGUAGCUCCCCACAACACCACUGCCCCAGCCCUCACAUGCUUUCAUAACUUUUAUUCUUUAAAUAAUUUUGCAGCUUUUUAUUAUUUUUCUCUUAUGGCAAGCUGGGGUUUUAGGUGUGCGUGUGUAUAUAAUGUGUGUGUAUACAUUUGUGUAUGUAUGUGUAUAUGUGCACAUAUUAAUGUGUGUACAUUUGUACAGCUCUAAAUAGGCAUCAAAUAUAUAUACAUGUGUAUACAUGUACACAUGCAUACACACAUGUGUAUAUGAACACGUGUAUAUGUACAAGUACAUGGCUGUAUGUAUACAUGUACACAUAACUACAUGCCUAUUUACAGAUGUAUAAACAUACACACACACAUACACAUUUAUUAGAGAGCAUUAUGGAUAGUUUGUACAUUAAUUCUUUGAUUAGAAAACAGUACAGACUAUCACUUUUUAUUUUGAACUGUAUGUAUUUUGCAUGAAAGCCCAUCCCAAAGGACUCUCUGUCCUUAGAUGUAAUUUAUGGUCUUCCUUCCAAUUUUUCUCAUCUUAUUAAAAAAAAAAAAAAGACGGUAUUUAACUUGGUCAGCAGGAGAAACUGCUAGAUAUAUUUUUGCCACCUCUUCCGAUUGACCCUUUAGUACCUUCUGGCCACAGCUUCUGGGUGAUUUUCUUUCUGCAGUCCUUGAGUUAGUGCUUUGCUCGGGGUUUUUUAUGGAUCGAGGUACCCCUUAGGAAAAAAAACCAGCUAAAUAUAUAGCCCCAGCCUUUCAGCCUACCACAUUCUCCAUCCCCUUGGGCACAAAGUUGUCCUGGUACCAGCACUGCCAGACUCUGCCAACACCUUCACCGUGGGUUGCUGAAACCUUUGCACACAUCCUUCAUCUCCUUCCAACUUGAGCUAGCACUACAUAGAUGUUGACAACACCCUGUUUAACCUCCAUGUGAGACCUGCACACAUCAGUGAGUAUCUCCUAGGGCUUCAGCCAGCCUUUUAAGAAGCGCAGGAUCAGCUAAUUCCCAGGGCUGUAUGAGGACAAAAAGACAGGGAGGGCAGUGUGAUGGAGGGUGCUUUAGCCCCUUCUCCUGGUGGUACCACAGCCACACAGACGAUGCUGUGCCAGCACUUAGGGGAGGGGGGAAUGAUGCUCCUGGAGUUACUGAUUUUUGCUCUGUGCAGGAAGAACAAGCUUUUACAUCACCUCUGUGCCUGGAUAACCUCAGGUGGAGCUGCUCGCCCUGGAUGAGGAGUUCAAACCAGCCAACCAAACCCUCCCAGCCCCUAACCUGUGGACCACAGCCUGAAAAUGCAACAGGCUUGGCCAAAGAAAUGUCAGCAGGUUACUCUUUGUGGGUCUGAAGCAACAUAGUUUGCUUUGGUUUAAAUUACCACACAUUCAGAGUGUUUUUCAGCAUGACUCAUGUUCCAGAAAUAAUUUGAUUUUGAGAUUUUUUUAAAAUGAAAUUGACAAGUCCAAACCUUAUCUUAGAGCUAGAUAAAAUUGCUGCUUAAAAGAAAGAAAUCCACAAUUUUAUUAUUUUUUAAUUGUUCAGUGUGAAUUUCCUGACUGCCACCUCUUUUUAUGCUCAGAAAUUAUGCGGUGAGCCACUAGGUUUGGGAUGAAGAGUCCAGUGGGGUGCUCCUGCCUCGGCAUAUCCCUAACCUCAGAUUUGGUUAAAAAAGUUUGCCAAGAAUUUAAUGCAAAUUAAUGAGAUUUAAUGAACAGCAAGGAAGGUGGUGGUUGGGAAUAUGUCUUUCCAGUUUUUUACCCGCUGAGCAUCUGUACCCUGGUACCUCAGGUAUUCACUGUGGUUCCCAUUCAGGCACUGGGGAUAUUUUGGGGGGAAUUUGAAAAAUAAUUUUUCUCCUCAAGCCUUUUUCUGUCCACUUUCCACAACACUGGCAGACAGAGAAGGGCAGGUGGCUCUUGCUUUUACACCGGGGACGUGGUACCCCACAGCAGAUUGGCUGCGCCAGCACUGGCAGGGACCAGUGAGGGCAGCAGGGCAGCUGCGAUGCCACGGGGACAUCCCAAGCCUCUCGCCCCUCUCUCUGCAGCACCCAACACAAACAAAACCCACCAAAUUAUUGUGCCCACAGGGACAGGAUGGCCAAAAGCAUCUACGCUUGGCUGCUUGGUGCUGGCACAUGGCUCCUGCUCUCCUCAGUCCCGGUACAAUCUCCAUUGUAGUUUUGCCAUUAAAAAUUAUCUCUUCAUCUGAGGGCGAAGGAGGGGGCUGGGGGCAGUCUCUUGUGCAAGGCACUCAGUGUCUGGACCCUGCUAAGUUCAAAGGCACCCUCCCUCCCGCCCCGAGGAGGGAUGAAGCUGGCCGGAGGAUGGCUGGAGGCCACACAGACGGGAAGACCUUGGAACUGAGAAGCAAUAACAGGGGGACUGUUCCCUUGAAAGCUUUGGAGGUGCUGGAAACAAAAUGGGAGGAAGAGAAAAUAGACCAACAAAGGUCUGGAAGAGAGAAAGCCAUCGAAAUCUCUUGUUUAAUUUCAUUGCCCCAAAGAAAUUCCGUGCAGACAAGACAUAUUUCAAAGGGGCCGGAGAAUUACCCGACUUCUCCAAGGCAAAGGCAGCAAAAGUGGCAACAACCUGGAAAAUAAAUAAAUGAAAUGCAACGUAUGUAGGGGUCACGGUAUAGCAUAAGUAUAUCAACAUGAUGAACAGCUUUGAUGAAAAUGUCACCACAGGUGAAAUCCCUCCUAGCAGCUGGCUUAUGAAAUAAUGCGAGGGGAGGCCUUAAUGAGCUGAAAGCACCCUCAGCUGGAGAUAAAUAUAUGCAAAUGAGAUGCACAAACAAAGGAGCCCGGACAGAGAAAUAUCUGCAAUUCCAGCAAAAUGCUGCCUGCAGCUAGAAGAUGAACAGCUUUGAUAAAAUGGCCCAUGACUGCUGUGCCGUCGGUCUGGGGAUGCUCGAGGACCGUGUGUGCACUGGGCUGCGUCGCUAGGGAAAGACUCGUUCCUCUGUCCUAGCUGGAGGACACAAAGAGGGGAACAUCCAGACUUCAGUAACCAAACACCCCAAACCUCACAUUUCUAAAUACUCUGGAGAGAGUUAAUUGCAAAAUGUUAAUGCCUGGAGGGGAGGGGGUGGCUAUAAACCAGAAGGAUAUAGGAAAGUAGCGGGUGGAGCAGGGCCUGUGUUACCUGAUGCUGCAGCGUCUGUCGUUUAUCUGUGGCAAGAAAGAAGUUAUUGAUGGAAAGAGAGCUCAGAUAAAAGGCAACGUGUGUUUUGGGCUUUUUUUUAUAGCAUACACACAUGCACGCACACUAAGGUAUAUGUGCCCUACCUGUACUACGGGGGUGUUUUUUCUCUGUUAGUAGCAAUAAGACCAGCAAUAGAAAGGGCUGUGUGUGCUAACUCCCCUUCUCCCCAAAUUUGUGAGCAGAGAAGCAUAUUUAAACUCUGAAACUUAAAGGCAAAAGGUAUCUUUGACGUAUGUUGUUCUUAUUAAUUCCACUUCUACUUUUUGGAAAUCCUGACCCAUGCCACCCUCUGGCUUUUACUGUUAUUGAUCCCCCAGAAAAAAGGGGGAGCAGAGACCGGAAGGUAAAAACUAGCUGGGAUAGCUCAGUGAUUUUCUCCUGCCCUCCACGCUGCUCUGACAAAAAGGCAAUUUGUCUUGUGUGCCCCGUGAUGUUUGAGGACUCUGGCAAACGUGCAUGUUAAACAAGCUCCGCACAGAAUCUAAAUACCAUCCAUUAAAAGAGAAAGUCCCAAUGUGUUUAUAGCAGUGGGCCAAGGCACGCGGCCCUCGCUCCGGCAAAACUCCCAUUGACGUCAGUGGGGCUUGUGCUUAUGCAAAGAGUGCGGGAUGCUGCCCUGCACCUUCUUAAAAGAGAAAAAAAAAAAAUAAAAGAGAGAGAGAGAAAGAAAAAAAGAAAUGAGUAGUACUGGAAGGAGGAUGUUGCUCUUGAAAAUGUCUUGGAGCAAAGUGGUUAAGCAAAGCCUGUACAAACAGUGACUAUAAAUAUUUUCCAUUCUGUAUAGCUCUUCAAACAGUUCCCUGCUGUAAUUUCAGAUGAGCUCAAAAAUAAAUAAAUUAUAGCACAAGGGAGAGAGGAGGGGGAGAAGAAGAAAAAAAUAACAACGGCAACAAAAAAAUUACAUUGCAACCGAUGCUGAAACAACAAAAACUUCAUUUUUUUUUCAGCCAGAUCUAUUUCCCAGAGAAGAAACCGGUCGGUUUUUAUGAAGGGCUGCUCCAUGACAGGAGCCUCCUUUGAGGAAGACCAUUAUGCAUUGUUAUCAGCAUGGCGUAAUUUGACUGUUGACAAAGUAUCUGUGGCAGUGAGAAUGAAAGCAGUUAGAAGUGUGGUGGGUUGUAAUCAAGAAGAUGCUUAGCUGUGCAACGCUGCAUCUUGAGCAGAUUUGAAUCAACAUUGCCUUGAGGGGACACACACAAACACACAUACAAAAAAAAAGUCCAUUAAUUUUUAGUGGGAAAAUUAGAGUGGCACUUGAUGAAGUGAAAUUUGACAUGCGUUAAUUGCUCCACAGCUCUCCUAAUUAGAGAUUUUUGAAUUCUUUUACUGCUGUCAGCCUGAUGCCACAUUGUCUUGCCGGACAAAUAGUAAAAUUGCAAAUCGGGUUGAUCAAGAAGUUGGACUUUGAGAUAUUGGACUCUGGCUCAUUUGCUGCUGAUUGUCAUUUUCAUAGGAGGGUUGGGGGUGUUGUGGCCUGUGAAGGGCAUUUGGGGAGAGAAAAACUACAUUAAAAUCCUUCUUCUUGGUAAAUAAGAAUCAAUGAUUUAACAGUGCUUGUUUAAAAAAAAAUUAAAGGAAUGCAAGAAGUGGACAAUAAAACAAUCGAGUUGCAAAUAAACCUUUAACCUUUGUUAAAUCUAUAUCUUGCGUAACAUUUCAAAUAUAAUUCUGUUUAUAAUAAAGCCAUUAAAUUCAGUUUAUUUUUUUCCAUG